rnacentral:rRNA from 1 species
GACGAACGCUGGCGGCGUGCUUAACACAUGCAAGUCGAACGGAAAGGCCCUGCUUUUGUGGGGUGCUCGAGUGGCGAACGGGUGAGUAACACGUGAGUAACCUGCCCUUGACUUUGGGAUAACUUCAGGAAACUGGGGCUAAUACCGGAUAGGAGCUCCUGCUGCAUGGAGGGGGUUGGAAAGUUUCGGCGGUUGGGGAUGGACUCGCGGCUUAUCAGCUUGUUGGUGGGGUAGUGGCUUACCAAGGCUUUGACGGGUAGCCGGCCUGAGAGGGUGACCGGCCACAUUGGUACUGAGAUACGGCCCAGACUCCUACGGGAGGCAGCAGUGGGGAAUAUUGCACAAUGGGCGGAAGCCUGAUGCAGCAACGCCGCGUGCGGGAUGACGGCCUUCGGGUUGUAAACCGCUUUCGCCUGUGACGAAGCGGGAGUGACGGUAAUGGGUAAAGAAGCACCGGCUAACUACGUG